AUUGAACGCUGGCGGCAGGCUUAACACAUGCAAGUCGAGCGGGGUGAUGGUGCUUGCACUAUCACUUAGCGGCGGACGGGUGAGUAAUGCUUAGGAAUCUGCCUAUUAGUGGGGAACAACAUCUCGAAAGGGAUGCUAAUACCGCAUACGUCCUACGGGAGAAAGCAGGGGAUCACUUGUGACCUUGCGCUAAUAGAUGAGCCUAAGUCGGGUUAGCUAGUUGGUGGGGUAAAGGUCUACCAAGGCGACGAUCUGUAGCGGGUCUGAGAGGAUGAUCCGCCACACUGGGACUGAGACACGGCCCAGACUCCUACGGGAGGCAGCAGUGGGGAAUAUUGGACAAUGGGGGGAACCCUGAUCCAGCCAUGCCGCGUGUGUGAAGAAGGCCUUAUGGUUGUAAAGCACUUUAAGCGAGGAGGAGGCUCUUUUGGUUAAUACCCAAGAUGAGUGGACGUUACUCGCAGAAUAAGCACCGGCUAACUCUGUGCCAGCCGCCGCAGUAA
rnacentral:rRNA from 1 species